GCCCUCGUUGAGUGGUGAUCACCUACUAGUCUUAUAUAGGUUGAUAGCACUAAAAUGGGAGGUGGGGGUUCGACUCCCCCCGAGGGUA